rnacentral:rRNA from 1 species
GAUGAACGCUGGCGGCGUGCCUAAUACAUGCAAGUCGAGCGAACAGGCGAGGAGCUUGCUCCUCUGACGUUAGCGGCGGACGGGUGAGUAACACGUGGAUAACCUACCUAUAAGACUGGGAUAACUUCGGGAAACCGGAGCUAAUACCGGAUAACAUGUUGAACCGCAUGGUUCAACAGUGAAAGACGGUCUUGCUGUCACUUAUAGAUGGAUCCGCGCCGCAUUAGCUAGUUGGUAAGGUAACGGCUUACCAAGGCAACGAUGCGUAGCCGACCUGAGAGAGUGAUCGGCCACACUGGAACUGAGACACGGUCCAGACUCCUACGGGAGGCAGCAGUAGGGAAUCUUCCGCAAUGGGCGAAAGCCUGACGGAGCAACACCGCGUGAGUGAAGAAGGUCUUCGGAUCGUAAAACUCUGUUAUUAGGGAAGAACAAAUGUGUAAGUAACUAUGCACGUCUUGACGGUACCUUAUCAGAAAGCCACGGCUAACUACGUG